rnacentral:lncRNA from 1 species
GUAAAAGGGGACGCGGAGGAGAAGGAAAGUCGCUCAAGCAGUGGACAGAGCGGAGAAAGCGACUUCGGUUCAGCCUGAGAAAACUCCUGAGCAUGUGCGAAAAAGAAAAGAAGAAAAGAAAAGUAAAGAAAAGAAAAAAGGAAAAAGGGCAAGCUCCUGAGUGGAUCUCUCAGGGAGCCACCAGACAGCCGCAGAGAGAAGAAGCUGCCCAAGAAUGGAAAGGAAGAAAUAUAUCACAUCAUCUGUCUGUCCACAGGCUUUCCUUGGGGCUUAUGAAGUGAAUGAAGGAGGGAAGAAAGGAGAGACAGAGAAAAUAUGGAUUUCCUCAUGGUUGUGAUUCCUCUUCACUCUUUUGAAUUUGGAAGGAUGGCAUACACAUCUGAAAAAUACCUUGACUGCCUUUGGGUAACAUAGAAGUCAGCUGUCCCUGCAGUCUCCUCCACGUGCAUACCCUCUUUCCGUGACUGCCCAAGGCCAAUCCAGAAUCACGGAUGUCAGCUCUACACUGAAGUUCUCUAAUGGAAUCCACUUUCAUAGAGAGUGAGUGGGCAAUGUGGACUUUACUGAGUGGGAAGUUGAGGGGAUGAACUUUGCAUAUCCCACAUCAAGCCACUUAAACAUUCCUGUUAAACAUUCUGGUCUGUAAAGUACCUUUUUCGUUUGCUAAAAUUGGAGGUUCCUCUCUUUGAUCCUUCUUUCAUGCUCCACCCAGCUUCCCUAGCUGCUUUCUUCUAUUCCUGUGUCCCCCUUUCUCUCCUCAUUAAAACAUAAUAGGGAGCCAUAUGGUUUUGCCCCAGCUUCUAAAAACUAAGCUUGCAUGUCUAAACCCAGUGCCAUGCUUAGCACACCUCCAAAACCCUUCUCUGUGACAGUUCUUACUCUACUUAGUAGAAAUGAGGAUGACGUAGCAAUUGAAAUAAUCCCAUUGCACGUUUUACUUCAGGGAAAAACAUACCAGUCUCUUGGCUUUUGAGGCAUUUAGUUUUGGAAAAAUAUUCUUCAGUGGGACGUUAAGGAGGAUUCAGGGGACAGUGUCUCCAUCAACAGGCAUUACAGAAAAUUUCAUUACUCUUUUGCUUGUAGCUACCCCCUGAUGACUGAGUCCAAGGUGCCACAGGAAAAAAAAAAAAAACUUAGAACAUGUUAGUGUAUAUGGGGCCACAACCACAUAAUUAAAGGAUAGCUUUAAAUAGAAAAUUAAGGAUGGAGGGAGGGAUGAAGCUAAGAAUGAGAAAAGAAAUAAAGGGAACUUACCUAGUAAUAGAACACGAGAAAUGAAUUUGAGUCUCCCUUUCAGUGUGUCCCACAAUUUCAUUGUAUACUGUAUAGAAAACUAUAUCCUAUAUUUACAUAUUAAAUAGACAAUGUCAAGUUUAUUUAAACGAUAAUAGAAUGCUGAUGCCUAGAAAGGGAAAGGCAGGCCAGAGACUCUGAAGAAUGGAAACCAAGCCUUCUUCAGGCUUAAUAUCACCCAGGUUUAGAUUGUGAUAAUACACAUUAAAUCAUGUGAUUAGGUAGUAGGGCUUUUAUCAGUUCGGUUUCUAUGUACUCUUUUAAAAAUUUUGAAAAGAGAAGAAUCAACUGUAAUAGCUCAACAUAUACAAUUUGUUUUGAGUUUGGGGCAUGGAGUGAAAAUUGAGAAACAUUUUAUAAAACCUUUUGAAACCCCAGGCUUAGAAAGCUUUCAGAGUCAUUUGUCUGCACUCAGGUGGAUUUUCUGCAUAGGUUUCCUUUUAAGUUACUCAGGUCUUUACUUCUGCUUUUUUGGCUUAAACAGUUGAUAUUAUAUGGUUGUUGGAGCCUUGAACUUGAUUGUCAGCCAGUGUAGCUCUUUUAGGAGAGGAUGUCAAAUCUGCCAGCCAUCCAAAAUUGCCUACAUUGUCAUUGCUCUAAUGAGUAUGUCCUUCAAGAGUCAAUGGAAGGCUAAAAAUAAAUGCCUUUUGAUGUUUACAGACUCCUUAUAAAGUGCUCUGAAACCAAUAUGAAAGAUUAUAAUUUUUUCUCUCUCACUAAGACAGUUACAAGAACAGAUUUAAUAAUAUGUAUUUUCUUUUGUCAGGAGAACAAGCUCUCUUAACAAAUAUAUGCUAGAUCAUUAGGGGUGAAAAGACAUGGGCACAGUGACAAAAGUGUACUAUGAAAAAAAAAUAGCUAUUUCCAAUUUCAUUUGUAAACUGAAGGGCAAAGUACUUCAUCCAGUGGAAUCAUUUAGUAUCUUAAUAGUUCAAAGGUAGAAGCCAGCAGGACACAGUGAAAUAAACAUGUGAGCACAAGAAAAAUUGUGCUUCUCCAGCCUUGCUGUGCAGAAAGUUUGAAAUUUGGGUACAGGUCGUGCAGGAAUUUCAGGAUUUCUCUCAUCUGCUGGGUAAGUCAGCUCUGGAAAUAUGGCUCCUUAAGCACACAGUAGAGCCCUUUCCUGUCAAGCUUACUUGGAUGACUCCUCUGAAACAACUUGGUUUUAAAAAAAAAUGGGGCUACUAGGCAUGGCCAAAGAGAAAGUCACUUGUAUUUCCUCAAAGAAAAUUCAAAACUAGACAAGCUACUUUUCUGGCCUCAAAAAAAAAAAAAAAAAAAAAAAGGCCGUGUGCAGUGGCUCAUGCCUGUAAUCCCAGUACUUUGGGAGGCCAAGGCGGGUGGAUCACAAGGUCAGGAGAUUGAGACCAUCCUGGCUAACACGGUGAAACCGUUUCUAUUAAAAAAAAAAACCAAAUAAUUAGCUGGGUGUGGUGGUGGGCGCCUGUAGUCCCAGCUACCUGGGAGGCUGAGGCAGGAGAAUGACGUGAAUCCGGGAGGCAGAGCUUGCAGUGAGCCGAGAUCAUGCUGCUGCACUCCAGCCUGGGCAACACAGCGAGACUCCGUCUCAAAAAAAAAAAAAAAAAAAAAAAAAAAAAAGUCCAGCUGCCUACAAGGACAGCAUAAUCCAUCAUCAAUGCAGUGAAAAUAGAAAAACAAAUUUAAAAAGAAAUUUUCCCCUUUCUAUCCUUCAUUCCUCUACCCUCCCUUCUAAAAUUAAAAAUAUAUUUCUUCUAUUUUUUUUUUAUUUUUUAUUUUGGAAAGGAAAGUAAAGAGGAAUGAAGGAUAGAAAGGGGAAAAUUCCAGGCAUAAGAUACAUUUUAGAACAAUUCACUUGUGUUUUGAAUCCUUUCUCUAAUUUGCUCAAAGUGUUUAUUAAUGGCCACUUUAUACCUAGAGAGUCAAAAAGGUUUAAAGGCUUUACAACAUAAAGUCACACAAUUUUAGAGCUUCUUUUUGCCUCUAGCAGUGGGAUUGCCAGCUGGGAGGGCGAGCAGUACAAGGAAAGGGUGACCCUUCUGGAGAGCGUGUCAGGAUCUCCAGGUUUCUGUUUGUGGUUUCAGAAAGUCUGUGAGCCUAUCUACUAUAAUACUAUAAUGUCAUAUUUGAAAAAUGCAAAAGUACCAUUGUUUUGGGUGCGGAAUUGGUGGGUUCUUGGUCUCACUGACUUCAAGAAUGAAGCCGCGGACGCUCGCAGUGAGUGUUACAGUUCUUAAAGGCGGCGUGUCCGGAGUUUGUUCCUUCUGAUGUUCAGAUGUGUUUGGAGUUUCUUCCUUCUGGUGGGUUCAUGGUCUCGCUGGCUCAGGAGUGAAGCUGCAGACCUUCGCGUGAGUGUUACAGCUCUUAAGGCAGCACGUCUGGAGUUGUUCAUUCCUCCCAGUGGGUUCGUAGUCUCACUGGCUUCAGGAGUGAAGCUGUGGACCUUUGCGGUGAGUGUUACAGCUCAUAAAGGCAGUGUGGACCCAAAGAGUGAGCAGCAGCAAGAUUUAUUGCGAAGAGCAAAAGCACAAGGCUUCCACACUGUGGAAGGCGACCCAAGCAGGUUGCAGCUGCUGGUUUGGGCAGCCUGCUUUUAUUCCCUUAUCUGGCACCACCCACAUCCUGCUGAUUGGUCCAUUUUACAGAGAGCCGAUUGGUCUGUUUUACAGAGAGCUGAUUGGUCCAUUUUGACAGGGUGUUGAUUGGUGUGUUUACAAUCCCUGAGCUAGACACAAAAGUUCUCCACGUCCGGACUACAUUAGCUAGAUAGAGAGUGUCCAUGGGUGUAUUUACAAACACUGAGCUAGACACAGAGUGCUGAUUGGUGUAUUUACAAUCCCUUAGCUAGACUUAAAGAUUCUCCCAGUCCCCACCAGACUCAGGAGCCCAGCUGGAUUCACCCAGUGGAUCCCUCACAGGGGCUGCAGGUGGAGCUGCAGGUGGAGCUGCCUGCCAGUCCCACACUUUGCGUCUGCACUCCUCAGCCCUUGGGCGGUUGAUGGGACUGGGCGCAGUGGAGCAGGGAGCGGCACUUGUAGGGGAGGCUCUGGCUGCACAGCAGCCCACGUCAGUGGGGGGAGGCUCAGGCAUGGCAGGCCACAGGUCCCGAGCCAUGCCACGCGGGGAGGCAGCUAAGGCCGGGGGAGAAAUUGAGCACAGCAGCUGCUGGCCCAGGUGCUAAGCCCCUCCCUGCCCGGGGCUUGUGAGCCAGCCAGCUGCUUGGAGUGGGGGGACCGCAGAGCUCACGCCCACCCGGAACUCACGCUGGCCCGCAAGCGCCGCGCGCAGCCCCGGUUCCUGCCCGCGCCUCUCCCUCCACACCUCCCAGCAAGCUGAGGGAGCCGGCUCCGGCCUUGGCCAGCCCAGAAAGGGGCUCCCACAGUGCAGCAGCAGGCUGAAGGCUUCCUCAAACGCUGCCAGAGUGGGUGCCAAGGCCAAGGAGGCGCGGAGAGCGAGUGAGGGCUGCCAGCACCCUGUCACCUCUCAGUUUCAAUGAUUUGAACAUCACAAACUAACGUUCCACAGAAUUGUCUUGGUCAGAUCCUAAUGGGAAUAUGCAGAGGGUAAGUCAUUCUCAGCCUGCAAUAGCUUCUGGAUAAAGUGUGGGCAGCUCUUUCAGAAUGUAGUUGGUGCUGGGGGAAGCAUAAGACUUUACAUGUUUAUUAAAAAUAGGGUAUAGGUUAAAAUAGGGUAAGAAAAACUGGUUUAGAUCAGAAUGAAUAACAGACUUGGGGAGUGUUCUUUAUUCAGUAAGUAUUUGUAGAGCACUCUAUUGAGUAUGACACUCAGAUGAGGAUGUCUUACAUUUACAUGUAAAGAACUGGACAUGUAAAUGUGAGCUCAGAUGAAUCCUGGGCUCAAGGCAGAUUUAGAACCAUCUUUCAACAGAAAUGUCAAGCAAGUCAAGGACCAAUAAAGGCCCUUUGUUGUGUUUAGCAACAAAGAGAUUGUGAUUGAUUUCAGCGAAAGCAGUUUGGGUAGAGGAACAACAUGCAAGCCAGUUUGAAGUGGGUUAAGAAGAGAGUGGGAGGUCAGACAGGGGAGAUUGCACCCAUGGACAACCCUUUCAGGCAGAUAUGCUAGGAAGGGGAAGAAAGGGAAAGGGUCAAAGCUGAAGUAGAACACAGGAAUCAAGGGAGAGUUUUUAAGAUGGGAGAUAAUUGAAAGCAAAGUAUUUCUAUACAUAUGACACAGCGAAGUAACUAUUGUUUAGUGUUCUUUCAUGAGGUGGUCAGUCAGGUGUGGCCACUAGAGAGCACAAAGGGGAGGUGAAGGAAAACGAAGUUUAUUGUAUUCAGAUGUCCUAGAGAGACAGGGUCACGUGGUGGGAGGAUGGAGGGACGGAGGGAGGAGCACCAAGGGAGCCAGCUCAACCAAGCAAGCAAGGAUCAGAGAGACCAAGAGAACAAGUGCCUUGAUCAGGGGUCAGUACGGGGUACACAAGCAAAAGGCAGGAGGGGAUUUCAUUGGUGCAUUUGAAUGUCACUAGGUCAAAAUCAGAGGAUGGCAACAACCAGAACUUGGGGCAGUGGCCAGCCUUAUCACACUGGUGUACCUGGCUACCUGGGCAGGGUGCUCAUAGACCAUUUGUUGGCAUUGAGGCAGCAGGAAAUACGAUGUUUUAAAAUUUACAAAACAACUAUUAAUUCACUGAGUGUUUAUUGAAAACACACUACGAGGUGAAAUACGAGAUAAGAAAUGCAUAGUUCUUGCUCUCAUGGAGUUUGCAAACUAGGUCACUCAAUAAGGUCAAUCACUAAUAUAAUAGGCUUGAGAUAAUAUGGCUCAUCCAAGUAGUAUGAACAGUGCUAUAUGGAUUAAAGUGUUGAAGGUUAUUUAUUCAUGUUGGAUUAGGAAAGAUAUUUCUGAGAAAGUGGACCUUAAAGAAUGAAAUAUUCCAACAGUAGGAGGUGGGAAAUCAAAGCACAAAGGAUGUGGAAGGCCAUAGGGUAUGAUGUUGGAUGUUGGGUUAUUAUACCAUAGUCUCAAAAGAUAUUUUUUUUGGAAGGGAGAGUAGAGGAAAGAGGAAUAAAGGACAGAAAGGGGAAAAUUCAAGGCAUAAGAUAAAUUUUAGAACAAUUCACUUGUGUUUUGAAUCCUUUUGCUAAUUUGCUCAAAGUGUUUAGUUAAUUCAACAGUUAUGUACUUAGUGCUUACUAUGCGUAAGGCAGACGCAUAAUCUCAAGGAGCUCCCAGCCAAGUGUAUGUUAAGUUCUAUAAGACAAGGAAAUACCCAGUGAUAAGAGAUUACAUAGGAGACAUACGUGUGUGGAGGGAACAGAAAACUCAAAGAGUAGCCUUUCCAGAAGAGAGAGAGAAAUAGUUUCAAAUAUUACCCAUGGAAUAGAGUAAAAGGAUACCUGAAAUGGGUCUGUGGGCUUUUGCAACAUGGAGGAAACUGCAGGAGCAGUUUCAUUGAAGAAAUUGGGAGCAAAAUUAUAACUGUUAUAGACUGAAUAUUGAUUAGGAAGUGAGGGAUUGAGGACAGGGAAAGAGGAGAAAUACUUUUAGAGGUAAAUAUAUGGCAGCUGCUGAGGGCAAAGUAAGAAAGAAUAAGAUAAAAAAGAUCCUAUGAUUUUAAAUCUCAGUGAAUAAUGGCAUCACUUGGCAAAACAGGGAAAUCAGGACAAAUACUUAAUUUUAAGGGAGCUUUGGUUUCUCCUUGAUUAAGUUUGAAAUAUGGAUAGACAUUUAGUCCAUGAUUGAAAAAAAAGGAUACAAAAAAUUUAAAGAAAUGUUAGGUCUAGAUACAGCUUAUUUAGAUGUGCAUAAGCUAGGUAGUUGCAGCCAGGGUCCUAGAAGAUAGAACAGUGGAGGAGAGAGAAGAGUAUAAAGCACAGGAGAAAAGGAUGAGAAAGAAGGUUAAAGGUCAGAGGAACUGACUGACAAGAAGUGGUCAGAAAAGCAAAGGAAACCAUCAGAGGGAGUUGUUAUGGCAGUUAAGGAGAGUUUUGUUUUAAUGGUUGUGUAAUCUUCAAUGGUUAGACUGUUUGCUCUAAAGCAGAAUAAAGACCAAGAAAAUGCCAUUGAUUGUGACAGCUAAUAAUUGUUGAUAAUCUUGACAAGCAUUUGUUCCCAAAUGGGGACAGGCAUUGUAGUAGAUUGAUUAAAACAACAGACACUGGAUUGCAAGGAGUUAAGGCGUGAAUGGGAUUUCUUUUUUAUUACCGCAGAGAAGGUGAUAGAAAACCUUAAUAUGAGGUUGUCGCAAGGUUGAGAGAAGACCUGAGCAUAUUUCUAUGAAUAACUGUAUGUGUAGAGGAAUAAAGUCAUUGGAGGUGACACUUGAAAGGAAAAGGUAGAAAAAUGAUGAAGCAAAGUUGGGGAGACAGUAUGAUUUAGCUUCUAUCUCAGUGUUUCUGUCAGAAUUUAAUGAAGUCAUGGAUAUAACAUAUCUGACAUAUAAUAGGUUUUCAGUAAGUAUGACCUAUUGGUAUUUUGGAGUCAGAUGAAAUGAGGAAGGCAUUUAUCAAGUGCCUACUCUGUGCCAAACUUGUGCUGUUUCACUUUCCCUCCACAACAACUCUCUGAGCUGGGUGUUGUCAGCCACAUGUUGUACCUGAUAAAACCAGAGGUGAGGCCUUGCUUUGGGUCACAACCAAGUAACUGCAGAGUUUGGAUUUGAACGUAAGUCCCUCAGAGACUAAAGAUACCACUAGGCCUUACAAUUUUAUGAAUAAUUUUGGUUUCAUACAAGAGUAAAGGAAACAAGGGAAGUAAUUUGAAGAAGCUUUUACCGAACAGGUUGUGUGUUCUUUGUGAAAGAGAAGGUGAGAUAUUUGCUGAGAGUGAGGAAGUCCGGGUAGGAGAGGAGACUGAGGAGCGUGAAGAAGACUUGAAGUAGCAAAUGUAGGGAGUUUGGGCAUGAUUAAGAAAGAAAACAAGUGGAGGUAGCAUGGACUUUCAGUGAACCUUGUUUUAUAAGGAUUUCUCAAAAUAAAGUCUCUGAUACUGCAACAGGGUCUUUCAAGUCAGGGAUCAGCAAACUUUUUUCUGUAAAGUGCCAGACAGUAAAUGCAGGUAUUUUAGACUUUGUAGGCCACGUGGUCUACGUUGCAACUGCUCAACUUAGCUGUUGUAGCAUAAAAGCAGCUAUAAGGUAAUAUGUAAAUAAAUGAGUGAGGCUGUGUUCCAAUAAAACUUUAUUAAUGUUAAAAAACUACUAAUGUUAGAACAUUUGAAUAUUCAUAUUUCUUGAAAUGUUCUUCUUUUGAUUUUUUUCCAAGAACUUAAAAUGUAAAACCAUUUCUAGCUCAAAGACAGUACAAAAACAGGCAGUGAGCCAGAUUUGGCUGUGUUUGUUAAAUUACACAUUCCUGGGUUUCACUCUAGAAGGAUCCAAUCAGAAUAAUUGAGGGCAGAGCCCAGAAAUCUGCAUUUAAAAAAGGGCUCUUGCAUUAUUUUUUUAAUCUACUCUAAGACUAUUGCUUAAAGACAGAACUGUAAGUGAAGAGUGAUUGUACAUGGUUCCUUGAAAAAUGCAGAGUCUCUAGGUCUCAAAAUCACUGAAUUUGCAACACUUGGCAGCACAGGACUAGAAGCCAUGGAAGGGCCACAGUGGUCUGGAACUUGGCAUGGAAGGAAUGGCAGAAGAUGCAUGGGUGAAAGAUUCUGUAUUUGUGGCUAGUGCUUCACUGAAUGACCAUCCGGAGGGCCCAGACUUGGCAGGAAGGCAAAGGAAGACAGAAGGAGGCUGAUGUACUAAAAACAAAACCAGGAGGACUACAGGAAUUUGGGCUCAUGAUGACAGUGAAAACCAGACUUGGAAGGUCAAGGGUCAUGGGUAGAAGGACAGGCAUUUGUGAUUACAGCAGACAUUCAGAACAGGUGUAAGCUCUGUUGAUGUAUAAGGUAGAGCCAUAUCAGGAAUGGACCGGUGUCAUGGAGGUGGGUGUUCUUGGAGGUGAGAGGUGGAGAACUCGUGAGGCCAGUGUCUAAGUAGGAUUGGGUCAACACAACCGGAUUGAGUGCCUAAGAUAUUCAAGAUGCAGAUAGCCAUGUGAGUAACAGAAGAUACUUGUCAGCAUGGGUUAGGACAAGGGGGCCGGGAGAACGGUGUGUAAUAUUUUGACAGGUAGAGAACAGGAAAGGAGAUAGAAAAAAGAAGAGAUGUUCAUUAGUCAUCUGCUCUGUGCUUCUUUAGUGGGCCCUGACACAUGUAAACUCGUUUGACCUUUAAACAAACUGAGGAGAGCAUUAUUACUUUUUAGAAGUAAAGAAUCUGAAGUCUUUGCUUUUGUUUUUUUCCUGAACACAAAUUCACUUGAAAUUUAAAAGUAAAAAUGUUUAAAUAGGCCAGGCGCGGUGGCUCAUGCCUCUAAUCCCAGCACGCUGGGAGGCCGAGGCGAGCAGAUCACGAGGUCAGGAGAUCGAGACCAUCCUGGCUAACAUGGUGAAACCCCGUCUCUACUAAAAAAAAUACAAAAAAAUUAGCUGGGCAUGGUGGUGGUCACCUGUAGUCCCAGCUACUUGGGAGGCUAAGUCAGGAGAAUGACCUGAACCCAGGAGGCAGAGCUUGCAGUGAGCCGAGAUCGCGCCACUGCACUCCAGCCUGGGUGACAGAGAUAUCAUCUCAAAAAAAAAAAACAAACAAAAAAAAAACACAAAACAAAAACAUUUUAACCUACUAGUGAUAUGUGAGAAAGUAAAUAUUAUAUAUAUUAUUGUAUAUGACACACAUUAUAUACAUAUAUAUUUUUACAUUUUAUACAAAUAUAAAUUACAUUGCUAAACAGAUAAUUGGAAAUCUGUGCCAUCGAAAUAGGCAAACAAAUGUGUUAAAUAUUUAAUCAUUCCUAAUAUUUUCAAGUCAUAACAUAUGGAG